GUGAAUCAUCGAAUUUUUGAACGCAAAUUGCGCUUCCUGGCAUCCCGGGAAGUAUGCCUGUUUGAGGGUCAGUAUUAACAAAAAAUCGGUUUGGUUGCAAAUUGUGACGUUCCCGGAGUUUGGGCUAUCUUAACUUUUUUGGUUAAGGGGCUUAAAAUUGACCUUAUUUGCGCAUUUUUAGACGUACAUAAAUUUUUUUUUUUUUUUGUCUAUUCUUAUUGCCAAAUUCCUUUUAGAUGCACCCAU
rnacentral:misc_RNA from 1 species